AUUGAACGCUGGCGGCAGGCUUAACACAUGCAAGUCGAGCGGAGCGAGGGUGCUUGCACCUUAGCUUAGCGGCGGACGGGUGAGUAAUGCUUAGGAAUCUGCCUAUUAGUGGGGGACAACAUUCCGAAAGGAAUGCUAAUACCGCAUACGCCCUACGGGGGCAAGCAGGGGAUCUUCGGAACUUGCGCUAAUAGAUGAGCCGAAGUCGGAUUAGCUAGUUGGUGGGGUAAAGGCCUACCAAGGCGACGAUCUGUAGCGGGUCUGAGAGGAUGAUCCGCCACACUGGGACUGAGACACGGCCCAGACUCCUACGGGAGGCAGCAGUGGGGUAUAUUGGACAAUGGGCGGAAGCCUGAUCCAGCCAUGCCGCGUGUGUGAAGAAGGCCUUUUGGUUGUAAAGCACUUUAAGCGAGGAGGAGGCUACUUAGAUUAAUACUCUGGGAUAGUGGACGUUACUCGCAGAAUAAGCACCGGCUAACUCUGUGCCAGCCGCCGCCGUAAUAC
rnacentral:rRNA from 1 species